rnacentral:rRNA from 1 species
UACGUAAGGGGCAAGCGUUGUCCGGAAUCAUUGGGCGUAAAGAGCGCGUAGGCGGCCCUGUAAGUCCGCUGUGAAAGUCAAGGGCUCAACCCUUGAAUGCCGGUGGAUACUGCAGGGCUAGAGUCCGGAAGAGGCGAGUGGAAUUCCUGGUGUAGCGGUGAAAUGCGCAGAUAUCAGGAGGAACACCAGUGGCGAAGGCGAGUCUCUGGACAACUCCUGACACUGAGGCACGAAAGCUAGGGGAGCAAACAGG